rnacentral:tRNA from 1 species
GCGCUCGUAGCUCAGUUGGAUAGAGUGAUGGACUCCGACUCCAUAGGUCGCUGGUUCGAAUCCAGUCGGGCGUACCA